GGCUCCUCAAUCAAGGCACUGGAGCAGCUGCAACUAAGGGCACCAGGAGCGAUUGUUCACAGCACAGAGUGGAUCCUGCUGAGGGAGAUGCCGGACGUCUGGAAGCCUUUCAGAGAAGCAACAGAAUGGCCUGGUCAGGAGUCUCCAAGCAUCUUUGAACACAGGAUUCCUUGAAUCUUUAUCCGUGUGCGAACGGAUCACUGCCCCCUCAGAUCCAGUGUACCUCACAGCAGCUGCUUUGGAUCCUGCACCAUGUGUUGGGCUGUCGGAACAUAAAGACAGAUCUGAUCCUGCAAAGUCAGAGUAACCUGUGACUCCUGGUGAUGAUGGAGGACAGAGGCAGAAGAAGGCAGAGGAAGGAUGCGAGCUACAGCUAAGUGGAUCCUGCUGAUGGGCAGAGCGCCUCUGGGUCUCCCUGCACUG
ensembl:lncRNA